rnacentral:rRNA from 1 species
GACGUAGGGAGCAAGCGUUGUCCGGAAUCAUUGGGCGUAAAGCGCGCGUAGGUGGUCCCGUAAGUCCGCUGUGAAAGUCAAAGGCUCAACUGGGGAGGGUCACGCGAUACUGAUCGACUCGAAGGCAGGAGAGGGUAGUGGAAUUCCCGGUGUAGUGGUGAAAUGCGUAGAUAUCGGGAGGAACACCAGUGGCGAAGGCGACUACCUGGCCUGUUCUUGACGCUGAGGCGCGAAAGCUAGGGGAGCAAACGGGG